rnacentral:rRNA from 1 species
UACGAAGGGGGCUAGCGUUGCUCGGAAUCACUGGGCGUAAAGGGUGCGUAGGCGGGUCUUUAAGUCGGGGGUGAAAUCCUGGAGCUCAACUCCAGAACUGCCUUUGAUACUGGAGAGCUUGAGUCCGGAAGAGGUGAGUGGAACUCCGAGUGUAGAGGUGAAAUUCGUAGAUAUUCGGGAGAACACCAGUGGCGAAGGCGGCUCACUGGUCCGGUACUGACGCUGAUGUGCGAAAGCGUGGGGAGCAAACAGG